UCCACGGCCGGCUUGGACGGGGCUUGGAGCAACCUGGGAUAGUGGAAGUGGCAGGAGUUGGAACAGGAUGAGCUGUGAGGUGCCUUCCAAGCGAAACCAGCCUGGAAUUCUCUCUGAAGUAUCAGUGAGGCUCAGCAGAGGGAGGCAGAGAGCUGCCUGUGUCCCGGUGCAGAAUUCCUAGCCUGGCUGGGAGGUGGCUCUGUGCUGUGUUCUGCCCUGUGUUCUUUAUUUUCCCUGCCAUUGGAAUUUUGUCUGUGAUUUGUUACAUCUUCUCUUGUGUGUGGUUUGGUGGAUAAUGGACUUAGUCAGAGGUUUUUCAGUUAAAAGGAGUUUUUCCUGCAGUUCUGGAAAUGGCCUGUUGACAUGAAUCAACUCUAAAAAGAUACAGAAGGGUUGCACUCAUCCCCCUGCAACUGCUAAGGUAGGUCUAAGAAAAAUCUUAACCAAAUAUGCUUAGAAAGUUCACUUAAAUUAAAAAUCGUGUGUGGGAACACUGAAAUGGGGAAAGCCCCAUCCAGCAAGUAGAAUCAAAAGAGUUCGUAUGAGCAUGGGGUAUUGUAGUCUGCAACCCCAAAUUCAGUCACACACUUGUGCUCUUGAGGGAAAACUGCAGCAGGUAUUAAUGCUCCAGUCAUCCCCUUCCCUCUGGGAGUGGGGAAGUUGCAGUAACAAAAUAGCCCCAAAACCAAUUGGGUGUGGAGAUUCAACCAUGUUCUCUGGAAUUCCUGGUUGCUCUGACACAUUCAUUCCUCCUUUGUGGAUCAGGAGACACCUGGAACCAUUAACCUUGUUUGCUGGGAGGGGAGGCUCUGUCUGCCAGUGUGCUGUCAGGAAGUGAUUUGGAAAUGGGAGUUGCUUAUCAAUAGAUGCUGGUCUGCAGCAAUGGCCUCACGUGCUGCCACUGCCCCGUUCCUGUCACCUGUGUGACGAGGUGCUGACAGUAACACACCCUGCAAGGUGGGGAGGGAGGAAGGAAGGGAGGAAUCUCUCUGCUCCUGUCAAUCCCUGAGCUGAGUCACUGGCCCAGCUGGAUGCCAGUGUCACACCAAGGGAUGUGGGAGCAGAGAAAAUUGGAACACCAAAUCCUGCCUUCCCGAGGCUGAGCAGCUCCUCAGGCUGUGCUGCAGCAAAUGGAGAUGGCAAAACCCUCAUGUUCCAUAAGGAGAGGCAGCUAGUGAUCAGCUGUGAUGUGUCUGUCUCCAACCUCCCAAAUAUUUUCCCUGAAUUCUGUGAAAUCUGCCUUCUUUCUGACAAGCUGCAGGGUGAGGGAUGGCAAACAGGAAAAACGAGGCCUGUCCAGGUGACCAGCACAGAGGGAUUUUUCAAUCCAGAUAAUGCUGGCCACUACCUGAGCACCACUUGCAGCACAUAAAGAGCCUUUGUGUGUGUUCUGGCUGUGCCCAGCAUUUCCCAUUCCCAGCAUGUGAACAGUUCUGCAGCCUGGGCUCGCUGAGUCACUGCUUUUUCCUGGGCAGCCCCCACAGAAGAAGCCAGAGACAUCCAAAGCCUCCAUCACCCAAUGAAAAGUGCUGGAGAUGUGCAGCUCCAAAAAUAGUGACAGACUCAACCACAGCAGCACUUCAUUAGCAUCAAAUGUGCUCUUUGCUUCAGCUGCCUAAUAAAGUGAUGUGUAAUUAUAAUAAAGCAUCCUUUGGAGAGGAAAGGGAGAGGGAUGUUGGCUUUCCCAGGGAAUUGAUAAUAAGAUGUGAUACCUUGUUAUCUCCAGGCACCUAUUUUUACCUGGCAGCUGUGCAGUGACCUGGUGGCUGCAGUUCCAGCCCAGUGAGGCUCUGUCCAGCUGCCACGGUGGGCAGUGGGCUCAGGGAGGCAGACUCUGCCUUUGCCUGUGGAAUGAGGAUCCUUCUGGGACCAGGAUCCUCAGGAGAAACUGAGGCUGAUCUGCAAGACAAAGUCCUUUCCAGUGCCAGAGUUCAGAACUGUUGCAGAAAAAAAACCACUCUGGAUGUUCCCACGAGCUCAAUAAAGAAUGAUCAAAUAAAUGCCAAUCCUAUGGAUACAGCAUAAAGAGCCUCUGCUCCUAUCCUGGUUUGGGAAGAGGAAAUGAAGUUCCCAGCCACUAUUUACCUGUUAAUUUGAUUUCUCCAGUUCUCCUGCAUUGCAGGCUGCACUAAGCACUUGACAACUCAUUGCUUAAGCAAUUAAAGCAAUUAAAUACUUAUUUUUCUAAGGAUCUUAUUCAUAAUAGUCCUUGCUAUGUUUUGUUCUGGAAGCCACUGGUUGAGCAAAGACAGGCAGUGCCUGAGUCACUGGGCCUGGGAUAGUUGCGUGUGGAAUUUGCCAUGGGUGCCAAGGAACAACCAGUACAUUUUUCUUUAUUUAGUUACUUUUUAAUUAUUUGUUUGUUGUUUGGAGUGUUUAGACCAGAGCAGUCUUAACCCUCUCCCAGAUAUCAGUCAAAACCCCCAUUUUUGUCAGCUGGCUGGCUUUUUUUGGCCUCAUUUUAUGUAUUUUUCCACCCCAUUAUUUGAGUGUUUAUCUCAGGGGAAAUGACUUUGCCUGAUGGAUUGUACACAGAGCCAGCAGCUUCUCUGACCUAAGCAUGGUUCACACUCCACCAGACAUAAACACUUAUUAGUUGUAAUAGUGAUGAGGAGAGAGGAAGCACAGUAGUGAAAAAAGGACUUGAGAUGAAAGAAAUUCUAUGGUUUUUUCCUCAGCAAUAUUGAUUUUUUGUGCGAUCCUGAGCAAGUAACUUAUUUUCAGUGAGGUCUGGGCUCCCAUACUGCAGAAAGCAGAAAUAUUUUCUCAUGUCUGGUCUCAAGAAGUGCUUUCAACUUCAGAAAAUGUAAAGUUUAUGUCUAUUUUCUAAAGUACAUAAAAGAAUAAGUGUCUGCUUGGCUGACACUGAGAGGGGACUGAUCUUGUUCUAUAAGCUCAUAUUAACAUUUCAUACUAAAAAAUUCAAACAUUGUGUUGUGCUGAAGACUGGCACAGGUGGCACGAAGAAUAAAUGUUUUCAUAGUCUUAUUUA